GUCAGAACCGCCACAGGAAGGACCUUGUUCUUUCAGUAGCGACGAGAUCCUGAGCUCUCGAGUCCACCUGCCAGCCCAGACACACUGCUUUCAGAAGUCUGUUCUAAUCAUGAGAAUCUUUUCUAGUCAAUGAAAACUGUAAACUUUUAGGGAAAUGUUUCCUAGUACUCACCCACUCCCUUUCACUGUGCCAGGAUGUAAAGAUGUUAUGUAUAAACUACCAGGAUCAAUCAAAGUGUCCAUCCAUAGGCAACUGGCUAAAUCAAUUAUCUAGUCUUAGAAGAAUGAAGCAGGUCUGAAUGUGCUGAUGUGGAAAGACAUCCAUGAAAUAUGGAUGUCCUUUUUAAAUGAAAAAUGUUUAUGCUUAUAUUUGGACACAACACUUCUGGAAUGAUACUCAAACUCCUGGGAGUGGGGAAAUGACUUCUCUAUGUAUACCUUCUACUGUUUGAAUUUUUUACUGUGAGCAUAAAUUUUAUAAUUUUUUAAAAUAAAAAAAAACAACUUACAAGAUUAUACAUAUUUUCUCCCCUUGAUACUUUAUUCAUCAAUUUUUAUCCAUAUUUCACUUGUCUAAAAUUACAAUAUAUGAAAAUUUCUCAGCUACUGUCUUUCAUAAUAGUAUUUUUAUUCUAUAAGUUUACUAUAACAACUUAUUGAUAUAUUUGAAUUCAGCCAGGUUUUAUAAUAUUCAAGUUCAUAACUGCCACCAUGCUUGGCAUUAAGUAAAUCACUGUGCAAGUAGAAGCUUUCCUACUCGUGUAUUUAAGGCAAAGCUUUAAGACUACUUUAAAUUUCAUUUGUAAAUAAAUGGAUUUCCAUAGGAAGCCACAAAUCCUCAAACAGAAAAAUUCAUGUAUUCUCAAGGUUAUCCUGAUACAGAAAUCAAACCUGGAAGAAAUAUUUUUACGACAGAAAAAGGAUUCAGUAUUAGGGUGAAAACAUGGAAAUACCCAAUUGGCUACAAGAGUAAUGUACAUAUGAUGGCUAAGAAUAAUAUUUUAUUUAUCAGUGAUGCAAACAUAAGUAUUAAUUCCCUGGAAGGCAUAUUUCUUUAUAACAGUUUUUUUUAAAUCUGCCUCGUUAUUUAAUGAAAAUAUAUAUUCAGGAUGUGCACACAUUAAAAACUAGGAUUUGGUUUCAAUGUGCUUUAACAGCAGUGUUUUC